rnacentral:rRNA from 1 species
GGGAUAACACUUGGAAACAGGUGCUAAUACCGUAUAACACUAUUUUCCGCAUGGAAGAAAGUUGAAAGGCGCUUUUGCGUCACUGAUGGAUGGACCCGCGGUGCAUUAGCUAGUUGGUGAGGUAACGGCUCACCAAGGCCACGAUGCAUAGCCGACCUGAGAGGGUGAUCGGCCACACUGGGACUGAGACACGGCCCAGACUCCUACGGGAGGCAGCAGUAGGGAAUCUUCGGCAAUGGACGAAAGUCUGACCGAGCAACGCCGCGUGAGUGAAGAAGGUUUUCGGAUCGUAAAACUCUGUUGUUAGAGAAGAACAAGGAUGAGAGUAAAAUGUUCAUCCCUUGACGGUAUCUAACCAGAAAGCCACGGCUAACUACGUGCCAGCAGCCGCGGUAAUACGUAGGUGGCAAGCGUUGUCCGGAUUUAUUGGGCGUAAAGCGAGCGCAGGCGGUUUCUUAAGUCUGAUGUGAAAGCCCCCGGCUCAACCGGGGAGGGUCAUUGGAAACUGGGAGACUUGAGUGCAGAAGAGGAGAGUGGAAUUCCAUGUGUAGCGGUGAAAUGCGUAGAUAUAUGGAGGAACACCAGUGGCGAAGGCGGCUCUCUGGUCUGUAACUGACGCUGAGGCUCGAAAGCGUGGGGAGCGAACAGGAUUAGAUACCCUGGUAGUCCACGCCGUAAACGAUGAGUGAUAAGUGUUGGAGGGUUUCCGCCCUUCAGUGCUGCAGCA